rnacentral:rRNA from 1 species
UACGUAGGCAGCAAGCGUUGUUCGGAUUUACUGGGCGUAAAGGGCGCGUAGGCGGCCAGCACAAGUCAGUUGUGAAAUCUCCGGGCUUAACUCGGAAAGGUCAACUGAUACUGUGCGGCUAGAGUGCAGAAGGGGCAACUGGAAUUCUCGGUGUAGCGGUGAAAUGCGUAGAUAUCGAGAGGAACACCUGCGGCGAAGGCGGGUUGCUGGGCUGACACUGACGCUGAUGCGCGAAAGCUAGGGGAGCGAACGGG